CGUGCUAAGGUAGCAUAAUAAUUUGUCUUUUAAUUAAAGACUAGAACAAAAGAUUUAACAUCUUAAUAAAUAUUUUAAAUUAACCUAUUAAAAUUAUUCUAAGUGUAAAAAAACAUUUAUAAAAAAAAAAGACGAUAAGACCCUAUCGAACUUAACUUCAGUUUAACUGGGGCAGUUAAUUAAUUAUUAUUUUAAAUUAAAUAAAUAAAAAAUUUGACCUAAUAUAAUUAAUAUUAUAAUUAAGUUACCGUAGGGAUAACAGCGUAAUAAAACUUUAAAGAUCUUAUUAAAAGUAAAGAUUGCGACCUCGAUGUUGAUUUAAUAACCUAACGUAUGCAGUAAUUCGUUAAGGAAGUCUGUUCGACUUUUAAAAAAUUACAUGAUCUG
rnacentral:rRNA from 1 species